rfam:Phytophthora infestans T30-4 supercont1.82 genomic scaffold, whole genome shotgun sequence.
AGCAGAAGGGUCAAUUGUCGCUCCGCCUGGUACAGUAGUUCGCUAAACUAUUAUUAACUCGUGGGUUCAAAUCCCACUUCGGCUU